AUCCAGUUGACGAGUCCUAAGUAGGGGUAAAACGCGCGUCUUGGAU
rnacentral:hammerhead_ribozyme from 1 species